rnacentral:lncRNA from 1 species
CCUCCUGCCCCUACCCAAACCACAUAGACUGACUUUACCUCCCCUGCAUCUGAGCCCAAGACUGUCAGGCUUAUGAGAGCUUCCUCCGGGCAGGACUCGGAGGGUUUCAGUUUUACGGUUUGAAAAACAGGAGGAUAUUAGGAGAGGCUUUUCUUUCAGCAGGGACACACUGGAGCGACUGGGCAGAUGACCGAAAUGAAGAGGUGGGGAGGAGGCCAGGGUCGCAGGAGGGCGGAACCCUCAAGCCAACAAUGGCAGGUGCUGGGAAGGGGGCAGAGUCUGAGCCAAGCUGCAAAAGGAAGAAGAGAAGCCUCACCCUCUCCAUAGACAAUGGAGGGAGAAGGAGCUCCUGGGAGAUGUGUGGGGUUAGGGGAAUGAGGGUGAUCCUGCCUGAAAGACUGAGGAGCCCCAAAGGUGUGGAGUGGGUGAGGUAGGGUCGGAGAGGCCUGGACCCAGAGUCAGGAGUGAAGUCAUCUUGGAGAAAACGAGAGGAGGGUGAAAGCUGAGUGUUCCAGCCCCAUCAGAUGGUCCCCACCGGACUCUUGAAGUGGAGAUUACAAAUUACAAGUGACAUGAAUGGACAUAAUUUUCUACCGUUUCUCCAAGAAUGCUCACCUGGAGAGGUGCAAAAACAGCAGGAAGGGGUAUGGGGUUCAACUCAGUGUUGGACUUUGCCCAACAGGGCUCAUGGAGAACACCGUGAUCCAGUGAGGACUUCUGAUAAGCUGCGGGCAGCAGCCCGAGUGGGAGGAAGUCCGGGUGGCGUGGUGGACACACGGAAGGCAGCUCACUGCUCACGGUCUAUGUGAUCGUGAAACUGAAGGGUCAUCUCUUAGGGCGGCUGAUUUGGAAGGAGCAGGAGCUUGGGGUGAGAUGCACAGAUUGGUGUCCUUGGAGGCACAAAAGUCCAGAGAACAUGAAAAAUAGUAUGCUCAAUGCAAAUGUAUCAGAUGACGCUUCCAUGUCACCAUCAGAAUAUGAAAAAUAGAAAUCUUAGAAGAAGAGUUUUUAUUAACUAACAGGUAUAAUUAAAGACAAUGGAAAUAAGCAUAUUAAGAAGAAAAUAUAUUCAUUUAAUUGUGAAGAAGAUCUUCAUUUGAUGUCAGCUGUGAGGUCUGGACAAUCCUUUGUUGAAUCCAAGAUUUCUGAAAUGGUGUCCAUUAUGACUUCAUUUAAUGCAAGUAAUUAAUAUUUGUCAAAAAUAUACCCUAUGGUAUCUAGAAGAAUAUACUUUCUAAAUAUUGGCAUGUGUAUUCUCAAAAGAAGAAAAAGCUGGUAAGACAGUGAUGUGUUUAUUCACAUCAAACCUUCAAGCAAAGAAACUCUCAGCAGUCCCUAUGGAUCAAUCGUGCAUUACAGCUCAGCUCCACCAACACACUGCAAACAACUAAGACUCAAGGGAGCAAACAAAAACAGCGAGUUCUAGGAAUGGUUGAUUUGGGGUAUGAAACAAAGGUGCUGUUGCUCAAACUCUGGGUGAAGGAAUAAUCCAAGUGGCUGACAAUCAUGGACACUGUUUCUGAGGUCAGAGUGGGGAAUCUGUGACAGUGAGAACAUAAUCUUCCGUGAGUUAAGAGCUGAGGUUGACAGCGGUAAGUCGCCCACCACCUCUCCCUGCUGGACCACGAGGUUAGCGACUUUGAAAAGUUUCCUUGCUGAGGCUUCCAUGAUCUUCUGUUGUUGUUUUUGUUAUUAUCUUGCCUGGGACGUGUCUUGAUAAUGGUAAUUAAUGGCAGGAUACAACUUAUUUCUCAAUACGCUAUUUAAUAGACACAUUUUCUAGGCAAAUAGUAUAGUUGGAAAAGUCAAAAAUAACUGUCACUAAGUCUCGGGGGUGAGGGAAGAGACGAAGUGACACACAUUCUCUUAUAACGAAACCUAUUUAUUAUUAAACAUCUUCGUAGAAUAUACGGAGGUUAUUUUCAUCCAUCCAUUCAAAUGGUAGUUUUUGAGUGUCUUUUUCACAUGAUUAUGAGGUGCUGUGGGGAUAGAAAAUGCUUAAGUUGUAGGCUGUGCGUUAAGGACCUUGUGACAUACGUGUGCAUGCUUAGGAAGGAUUUCCUCCCAGAGAUGCAGGGUUUCUAGUUCAUUCCAAAUUAAACAAUGGCAAGAGUCGUGGGCUCCCUCUCCUUACAGGUUGGAGUAUCAGAAUCAACACGUUCUGCUUUUACAUUUUUCCUCUUUCCCAAACUGGAGAAGGCAUUUAAUGAAGGGCUCAGUGUGUAGCCCAGGGUCGGAACGUCUGGAAGGUCUGAAGAAGCUGUUCAGAUGCAAGGUCGGGGGAAGCCAGUCUUGGGCACGUGCACGCUCCAGGUCACACCUGUCUGCUCGGAGAAGCCAGGACUGACCACUAUUUCCUUCUCACAUUAAAAAACAAUCUAACUACCAAGUCAACCUCCUCACUCCAUCUGAAAACACAUUUAAGAGGCUGAGGCAGGAGAACCCUUUGAACCUGGGAGGCGGAAGUUGCAGUGUGCUGAGAUGGUGCCACUGCACUCCAGCCUGGGCAACAGAGCAAGAUCCCAUCUCAAAAGACAUUACGUAUUUUAUUUUACUUUUAAAAAUCCAUUUCUUUUAUUAUAACAGGGCUCAGUUAAUAAAAUUACUUACCAAAUGAAAAAGACCAUUUUCUUAGAUGAAAAAGCAAGUGAGUUGAUAUAUUUUAAAUAAUAAAACUUACAUCUAUUACAAUACUCAGAGAAUCAUGAAUAUGUACAUUUGAACUAAAACAUUCAGAGCCUUACCUCAGGUCACACUUUCAACGUCUCUAGAAGCAAUAAAAAGACACCUUUCCUCUCAACCACAGUAGCUGCAGGAGAUUGAAAGGCAAUGUAAGAGCAGGCUGGGGACCAUAAAAAUUCCAGCUUUUGCAACAAAGACACAAUCUUUGUACUGAGCAUGAUUUCAACUUUAACAUAAGGAAGCAAAAUAUUUUUUUCUGAAGUUAAACAUUAAUAACAAGAUAUAUAAAUUUUUUUUUCCAUGUAAUGCACACGAAUUGAAUUAACUUUGAAUCAACUUUGUCAGUACUUAGUAAGCAUUCAGAUGUCCAGAG